rnacentral:rRNA from 1 species
UAGAGUUUGAUCCUGGCUCAGAUUGAACGCUGGCGGCAUAGCUAAAACAUGCAAGUCGAGCGAAGCAGCAGCAAUGCUGACUGAGCGGCGAAAGGGUGAGGAAUACAUUCCUAUGUACCCCAAGGUCGAGGAUAGCCAGGAGAAAUCCUGGGUAAUACUCGAUGUGGUCGCAAGAUCAAAGGUUUACCGCCUUGGGAGCGGGGAAUGUCCUAUCAGGUAGUUGGUGGGGUUACGGCUCACCAAGCCUAAGACGGGUAGCAGGUGUGAGAGCACGGCCUGCCACAUCGAAACUGAGACACUGUUCGGACUCCUACGGGAGGCUGCAGUAACGAAUCUUCCGCAAUGCGCGAAAGCGUGACGGGGUAAUGCCGCGUGCAGGAUGAAGCCCUUCGGGGUGUAAACUGCUGUCAGGGGUUAGGA